rnacentral:rRNA from 1 species
UAGCCAUCCUAAGGUGAAACCGCGAAUGGCUCAUUAAAUCAGUUAUGGUUCCUUAGAUCGUACACAGUUACAUGGAUAACUGUGGUAAUUCUAGAGCUAAUACAUGCAAACAGAGUCCCGACCAGAUGAUGGAAGGGACGCUUUUAUUAGAUCAAAACCAAUCGGUCGGCUUGUCCGGUCCGUUUGCCUUGGUGACUCUGAAUAACUUUGAGCUGAUCGCACGGUCCUCGUACCGGCGACGCAUCUUUCAAAUGUCUGCCUUAUCAACUGUCGAUGGUAGGUUCUGUGCCUACCAUGGUUGUAACGGGUAACGGGGAAUCAGGGUUCGAUUCCGGAGAGGGAGCCUGAGAAACGGCUACCACAUCCAAGGAAGGCAGCAGGCGCGCAAAUUACCCACUCCCGGCACGGGGAGGUAGUGACGAAAAAUAACGAUGCGGGACUCAUCCGAGGCCCCGUAAUCGGAAUGAGCACACUUUAAAUCCUUUAGCGAGGAUCUAUUGGAGGGCAAGUCUGGUGCCAGCAGCCGCGGUAAUUCCAGCUCCAAUAGCGUAUAUUAAAGUUGUUGCGGUUAAAAAGCUCGUAGUUGGACUUGUGUCCCACGGUGUCGGUUCACCGCCCGUCGGUGUUUAACUGGCAUGUCUCGUGGGACGUCCUGCCGGUGGUGGCGAGCCGAAGUCGUGCGUCCGUCGCGGCCCCGCGGGGGUCCGGUCUCGCGCAAGCGCAGAUCCGGGUGCCCUCGCGUCGGCUUAGCGUCGGCUCCGUCCUUCCUAGGCGGACCCCUGUGAAAUCCUGCCGCGGUGCUCUUUACCGAGUGUCGAGGUGGGCCGGCACGUUUACUUUGAACAAAUUAGAGUGCUUAAAGCAGGCACUUCCCCGCCUGAAUACUUUGUGCAUGGAAUAAUGGAAUAGGACCUCGGUUCUAUUUUGUUGGUUUUCAGAACACGAGGUAAUGAUUAAUAGGGACUGGCGGGGGCAUUCGUAUUGCGACGUUAGAGGUGAAAUUCUUGGAUCGUCGCAAGACGAACUAAAGCGAAAGCAUUUGCCAAGGAUGUUUUCAUUAAUCAAGAACGACAGUUAGAGGUUCGAAGGCGAUCAGAUACCGCCCUAGUUCUAACCAUAAACGAUGCCAGCUAGCGAUCCGCCGAUGUUCCUCCGAUGACUCGGCGGGCAGCCCCCGGGAAACCAAAGCUUUUGGGUUCCGGGGGGAGUAUGGUUGCAAAGCUGAAACUUAAAGGAAUUGACGGAAGGGCACCACCAGGAGUGGAGCCUGCGGCUUAAUUUGACUCAACACGGGAAACCUCACCAGGCCCAGACACUGGAAGGAUUGACAGAUUGAGAGCUCUUUCUUGAUUCAGUGGGUGGUGGUGCAUGGCCGUUCUUAGUUGGUGGAUCGAUUUGUCUGGUUAAUUCCGAUAACGAACGAGACUCUAGCCUGCUAACUAGUCGUUUCCGGCAUCCUCUGUGCUGCCGGCGACUAAUUUUCUUCUUAGAGGGACAGGCGGCUUCUAGCCGCACGAGAUUGAGCAAUAACAGGUCUGUGAUGCCCUUAGAUGUUCUGGGCCGCACGCGCGCUACACUGAAGGAAUCAACGUGUUAACCCUUGGCCGAAAGGUCCGGGCAACCCGCUGAACCUCCUUCGUGCUGGGGAUUGGGGCUUGCAAUUGUUCCCCAUGAACGAGGAAUUCCCAGUAAGCGCGAGUCAUUAGCUCGUGUUGAUUACGUCCCUGCCCUUUGUACACACCGCCCGUCGCUACCUCUGAUUGGAUGAUUUAGUGAGGUCUUCGGACUGGUGCGCUGUCUCGUUCGCGCGUGACGGAUGCUACUGGAAAGAUGACCAAACUUGAUCAUCUAGAAGAAGUAAAAGUCGUAACAAGGUUUUCGUAGGUGAAC